CUUGAUUAAACAUAAGAGGUCCAGCCUGCCCAGUGACAAAAUUCAACGGCCGCGGUACACUAACCGUGCGAAGGUAGCAUAAUCACUUGUUCUUUAAAUAGGGACUAGUAUCAACGGCAUCACGAGGGUUAUACUGUCUCCUCUCUCUAAUCAGUGAAACUGAUCCCCCCGUGAAGAAGCGGGGAUUUAGCUAUAAGACGAGAAGACCCCAUGGAGCUUUAAACCCAACAUGCACCCACCCAUCCAAACACCAACUUAACCCAGAGGGCCUGCAUGUUGGUUUUAGGCUGGGGGGGCCACGGAGUAAAAUUAAACCUCCAUAACAAAUGGGCUAACACCCUUAUCCGUGAUUUUACAAAUCUAAGAAUUACCAAAAUAACGUUUAAUGACCCGAUAAUUCGAUCAAUGAACCA
rnacentral:rRNA from 1 species